AUCUUAAUUCUGAAAGAAGAUUAAAGAAUUAAUAUUUUAUAAAACAAGAUUUAAUUUUCAAAGUUAAAGAAUCCCAAAAAAGGGAUUGUUGAUAGCAGAGUUGAGCUCGGAUCCAGCUGAGUUGAGAACUUGCAUGUCAACCUUGU